CUCAUAAUUUCGGAUCUCAUAUUUUGAAAGAGUGGAACAGUGUUAAUUAAUUUAAUUUUUAAAAUGCCAUAGGUAUAAUUAUUAAAUCAGUCUAUCGACACUUUGGACGAAUUAAAUAUUGUGUGUCAUCACGUAAAGAUUUAAAUAUCUUAAUUUUGUGAUAGGAAAACAUUGAAAAAGCUUCAUUUAUUUAUUCGAUGAAUUUGUAAACAUAACAAAACCACGUUGCAGUAUUCGUAUAUGUAAGCAGAAACACACACGUGUGUGUGUGUGCAUGUAUGUAUGACCUGUGAAUAUGAGCUCAUCUCAAUCGAAUUUUAAGUAUAUAUUUAUUCUGAAUAUUAAAACAUUCGUCAGAAUUCAGAAUAAGUUUUGUCAAUGUAACUUUCAACCGGCAGCCAAUAAAUUGAUAAUACCGUCAUAAUAGCAACGUUGUUUAAUAACCCGGUUGUGUAUAAUAUAUCUACUUUAGGGAUAAAAACUUAAAGUUUGAAAAGUUCACAAACGACUUUGUAUGCAUUUAAACAAGAUAAUGGUACGCACUCGUUUAUAUUUUGUAAAACCUGUGUAUAAUAUACUUUGUUUAGUGAGUCAAGUUAUUUAAAUUUCACCUUAUAGUGAUAAGUGACAUGGAAACCAAUCAAAGACCAAGAUCAAAUGCGAGUGUUACAUUACCAAUUAAUGGAAAAAGUACAACUGCAUUUGUGUCAUCGCUUGUUAUUAAGCUGAUUGCCGUUAGUGUCAUUUACGGUGCUGGUUAUAUGAAUUGGUCGAUUGCAUGGUUAAUUACGCCAAUAGUUUUAUCAGAAACUCGCGAAUAUUUGACCGAUCCAAGGAAUGUUGUUCGACGGAAAAUCGCUAGAUUAUCAGCGAGUGAAACAGAGAAGAAAACCAUUCUUGCAUGUGUGAAAGACUUGCCAUCAUGGGUUUAUUUCCCGGAUUUCGAACGCUGCGAAUGGAUCAAUCAAAUUUUGCAACAAAUGUGGCCAUUCGUUGACGAACACUUUUCCAAUAAACUGAUAAAAGACAAACUGGAGCCGAAAAUUCGUAAGGCACUGUCCAAAAUGAAAUUAAAUGGCUUCGAAUUCGACCGUAACCAUAUUUUAUUGGGAAGAACACCGAUUCGUGUUGGCGGUAUUAAAGUUCAUGAUAUGAAUACGGCACGCGAUGAAAUCAUUUUAGAUGUUGAUCUUAUAUUCGCAAGUGAAUGUAGCAUUAAUUUCCGCCUUGGCGGAAUACCAGCUGCGUUGAAUGACUUCGAAAUCUAUGGAAAAAUUCGAGUAAUUUUGAAACCGCUUGUAUCUAAGGCUCCGUUUAUCGGUGGUAUACAGGUAUUUUUCUUAAAUGCGCCUGAUAUUGACUUUGAUUUGGCUGGACCGGCUGAGAUAUCAAAUAUUCCCGGUUUGAGAGACAUCUUACGUCGGAUUAUCGCAAAGAAAAUUGCUAAGAAAAUGGUUUCACCCAACAAGUUUGCGAAGAAAUUGAUUAAAGACGUUUCAGCAUCGACUGUUAAAGUGAAUGAACCGGAAGGUUGCGUAAGAGUUCACGUUUUCGAAGCCAGAAAUUUGAUCAAACAAGACAUCACACUAUUGGGCGGUAAAUCGGAUCCGUAUGUUGUUAUCGCAAUUGGAGCACAUCAAUUCCGCACUCGGACAAUACACGACAAUUUGAAUCCAGUUUGGGAUUAUUGGUGUGAGGCUUUAAUCGAUUCGACAUCCGAAAGGACAAUCAAAUUUCAUUUAUUUGAUUGGGACCGAUCAGAUAGCGACGAUCCACUUGGCAGUGCAACAGUUGAUCUGAAUGAGGUUUUCAAGACUGGAAUAUUAGACACUUGGUUAACACUGAAGGGAGUGGAACACGGGGAGUUACACGUACGUUUCGCUUGGUAUGAGCUCUCAUCGUCAUCGUAUGACCUGGCAGCAGCUCUUGCUGAAACGAAAAAUUUGGGACUGACCAGUCUAAGCAGUGCAGCAUUGUGCGUGUACGUUGAUUCAGCUAUUGAUUUGCCUCACAUUCACUCGGACGACAAACCGAAUGCGUUUGCUAAAGUCUGUGUUUCCAAUCAGGAACGUCUCACUUCAGUUAAAAAAUGGACUGACACACCUAUCUGGGAGCAGGGCUUCACGUUUCUGGUAGCAAAUCCAGAACUCGAUUGUGUGAAAAUUCGCAUUAUUGGACAGACAUCAAACAAGAAAGACGGCGAAACUAUCGGCCAAUUCAUACAUAGCAUCAGUGAUUUGCUGUUGCAAACUGAUCUGAGGAUUGCGUUACAAGAAUUCCCGUUACAAAAAUCUGGAACAACAUCCAAAGUCAAAUUAUCGAUGACUUUAAAGAUUUUGAAACAGUCCGGAACGCAAUCACUUCCACCAAUGUUUGCAGCACAUCGUGCUCGAACGCCUAGUAUUCAGGCACAAUCGUCACAUGAUAGUUCAUCAUCGGAAGAAAAAAUUGUGGAAGAAAGGGUCCUGCUAAAAAGUAUGCGUCAAUUGAGUGCGGACAAUUCUAUGGGCUUGGGCAGUAUAAAACUCACUUUAUAUUAUAGCUCCAAAUAUCACAUACUGAACGUAACGGUUCAUAAAGUCAUGUGAAAAUGUGCCUAUCAAAGAUCAAUCGGAUCUCCCAGAUCCGUAUGUUAUUCUUCACCUGUUGCCGAAACGAGUAAAGGAUAACAAACGUAAAACGGUUGUCGUGAAAAAUUCUUGUGAUCCUGUCUACGAGGCCACAUUUGAAUAUGGGUCAAUUUCUCCGAAUGAACUAAAAACAGCAGAGCUUGAAGUGACUGUGAAAACUAAGAUGACAUUUUUGAGUGGCGGAAGCGUCACAAUCGGAAUGGUGAGAAUUUGUUUAAUUGACAAAGACAUCACCGAAAAAGAGUCAACUGAAUUUUACGAUCUCAUGCGAGAAGUUAAACUUGGAUAAAUCUCAAAUCAAGACCACGCUUUCGCAUAUAUUUUGAAUUAAUAGGACCAUUACUGCCACUGGCUUAGCUUCCAAUAAACUUAUUAAUCUCGCUAAAACUGUAAGCCGCGACAACAGAGAAUUUUCGUGGUGCUAAUCUGCCGUGUUUAGCCAAAACAAUUUUUCGCAGUUGUAAGUUAGCUUUAACAAGCUUUGUAGGGAUUUGGAGAGCUUUGAGCGUCUUUUGGAUUCCAUUAGAAAAAUUUCCCAUUGAAAUAAAAAAAAGCUUGCAGCUCUCUCAAACGAUUAUGAAGCUCAUGUACCUAAUAUUGUAAUAAUUGCAGCACAAGAAUAUACAUUGGAAGUUACGUUAUUCAA